CUGGUGUGGUCGGCAGAAAGAAGGCUGUGGAUCCUUUGCAAACUAACGGAAAACGGGAGGGAGGACAGUCUCUGGUCAGAGAGACUCAUCCUGUGGCAAUCUAAAGACUGUGGAAAAUUUGACCUGCCAGGGAGAAAUUGUGGAUCAUACUGCUGGUAGUCAAUUCAGGAAUUCUCCAAAAACUGAGGAGUUGGAAUUUGUGAUGGCCGUGUGGAGCUGUUGUCUGUGCUACUUUUACGAGGGCUGGGUACAUAAUUGAAAGGAGUUACUCUUGCAGCAACAGUACCACUAGAUGCCACACCUGACCUGCCGAAUUUUUCCAUCAUUCUGCUUAUUACAGAUUUCCAACAUCUGUUCCAUAUUGCUUUUAUAUCCAUGGAAGCCAAGAUGUCUUCUAUGUUACCACCAAAAGAUAGUAAGACUCUCAAAAUGCUUUGUUACUUUGAAAUGUUUAAGACAAUGUGAAUUAAGGGCUCUGUCAUUUUAAUUAACCAUUUAUUCUUGUUUCUGUAAAAAAAAAAUACAUCUUGCAUGAAUUUCAGAUUAGUUUUAGCCUGACUGGCAUAGUUUGUCGGUAAGGUGCUUUUCCAUCUUUUGCAGUAAUCAGAAACCUAAAUUGAUACUACAUAUUUAAAUUGAUACUA